GAUGAAGAACGCAGCGAAAUGCGAUAAGUAAUGUGAAUUGCAGAAUUCAGUGAAUCAUCGAAUCUUUGAACGCACAUUGCGCCCCUUGGUAUUCCGAGGGGCAUGCCUGUUCGAGCGUCAUUAUAACCCCUCAAGCUCAGCUUGGUGUUGGGGCCUGCCGCACGGGCAGCCCUUAAAAUCAGUGGCGGUGCCAUCUGGCUCUAAGCGUAGUAAUUCUUCUCGCUAUAGAGUCCCGGUGGAUGCUUGCCAUUAACCCCCAAUUUUCCAUGGUUGACCUCGGAUCAGGUAGGGAUACCCGCUGAACUUAAGCAUAUCAAUAAGCGGAGGA
rnacentral:misc_RNA from 1 species